UACAGAGGUCUCAAGCGUUGUUCGGAUUCAUUGGGCGUAAAGGGUGCGUAGGUGGCGCUGUAAGUCGGGUGUGAAAUUUCGGAGCUUAACUCCGAAACUGCCUUCGAUACUGCGGUGCUUGAGGACUGGAGAGGAGACUGGAAUUCAUGGUGUAGCAGUGAAAUGCGUAGAGAUCAUGAGGAAGACCAGUGGCGAAGGCGGGUCUCUGGACAGUUCCUGACACUGAGACACGAAGGCCAGGGGAGCAAACGGG
rnacentral:rRNA from 1 species